rnacentral:rRNA from 1 species
AUUGAACGCUGGCGGCAUGCCUUACACAUGCAAGUCGAACGGCAGCACGGGAGCAAUCCUGGUGGCGAGUGGCGAACGGGUGAGUAAUACAUCGGAACGUGCCCAGUAGUGGGGGAUAGCCCGGCGAAAGCCGGAUUAAUACCGCAUACGACCUACGGGUGAAAGCGGUGGAUCGCAAGACCUCGCGCUAUUGGAGCGGCCGAUGGCAGAUUAGCUUGUUGGUGGGGUAAAAGCCUACCAAGGCGACGAUCUGUAGCUGGUCUGAGAGGACGACCAGCCACACUGGGACUGAGACACGGCCCAGACUCCUACGGGAGGCAGCAGUGGGGAAUUUUGGACAAUGGGCGCAAGCCUGAUCCAGCCAUGCCGCGUGCGGGAAGAAGGCCUUCGGGUUGUAAACCGCUUUUGUCAGGGAAGAAACGGCUUAAUCUAAUAAAUUGAGCUAAUGACGGUACCUGAAGAAUAAGCACCGGCUAACUACGUGCCAGCCGCCGCAGUAAGAC